UUAAAUUGAAGAGUUUGAUCAUGGCUCAGAUUGAACGCUGGCGGCAGGCCUAACACAUGCAAGUCGAACGGUAACAGGAAGCAGCUUGCUGCUUUGCUGACGAGUGGCGGACGGGUGAGUAAUGUCUGGGAAACUGCCUGAUGGAGGGGGAUAACUACUGGAAACGGUAGCUAAUACCGCAUAACGUCGCAAGACCAAAGAGGGGGACCUUCGGGCCUCUUGCCAUCGGAUGUGCCCAGAUGGGAUUAGCUAGUAGGUGGGGUAACGGCUCACCUAGGCGACGAUCCCUAGCUGGUCUGAGAGGAUGACCAGCCACACUGGAACUGAGACACGGUCCAG
rnacentral:rRNA from 1 species